ensembl:lncRNA
GAAUGUUUAAUGUCUCCACAGAGCCCUGCUUUUUUUCUCUCUUCUCAGCAUGUCAGAGGACGUCUCCUUACCUCGCCUCCCCCGCUGCCUGUUAGCCAAGCCAGCUGUCCCUGCACACAGCUAGCACGCAUGCACACACAAACUACCUCAUAGGAGCCCAGACUCUGGACAGGUGCAUAGCAUAGGUAUGACAGGACCAAGUAUGCAACUUGGACCCCAACGGGUCAUGGGGGAGCCUGGAGCCUAUCCCAGGGAACUUGGGGCACAAGGCAGGGGACACUCUAGGCAGGAUUCCAAACCAUCACAGGGCACAGUCACACACCUCGGACAAUUUGGAAAUGACUACCAGCCUACAAUGUAUGUCCUUGGACUGGAGGAGGAAACUGGAGUACCUGGAGGAAGCCCUCAAAGCACAGGGAGAACAUGCAAGCUCUUUAGAAACAAGGCAGUGGUGGGAUUUGAACCCCCAACCCUGGAUGUACUAGGCAAAUGUGCUAACCACUAAACCACAGUGUCCCCUAUAACAUAUAACAUAUAAAUUAAAAUAAAAAUGUUAUAUCCGGAUUUCUGUAAAGCUGCUUUGUGACAAUGCCCAUUGUUAAAAGCACUAUCCAACUAAAACUGAAUUGAAUAUAUUUGCUAUUCUGUUCUAGGAAGGGAAAAAAUCUUUUUAAGUUGGAUUAUUUUUUAAGUUGGAAAAUUUUAUUUGAGUAUAUGUCUGUGGCGUAAUAAUUCUCAGCAUUAAAGUAUUAGUGUGGAGAAGAAUAUGAGGUUAAUAAGGGUGAUAUUAGAUUACGUAUUCAUCCAUUAUAUAAUUUCUUUGUGCACACUUUCAUACUUUCAGUGUAAAGUGAUUCCAUAAAUACAUUAUUCAUUCCACUGGUUAAUAAAGUAAUAUAAUGAAUGGGCAUAAUGUAGGGAUAUUUCAGCCAGGUGUCAAACUGUAUGUCAUUUCAAACAAAAUAUGACAAAAUCUUUUAUAUCAGAUUUUCUUUUCAUAUAUAUAAUAAUCUGAAUAUGCGUUAAAGUGAAUGUGCUAAAGUGCAUUAGAAUUUUGUUGAUAUUAACCCAGAGGUUAACAGAUCUAGUCUAUUUAUUGCAUAGUGACUCCACUGUGUUAAAUCCAUUUUGAAAAAUACUUUAUUACACUAAAUCACUAUAUACUAA